rnacentral:rRNA from 1 species
AACCUACGCUGGCGGCAGGCUUAACACACGCAAGUCGAACGAGAUCUUCGGAUCUAGUGGCAGACGGGUGAGGAACACGUGGGAACAACCCUUUCAGUUCGGAAUAACGUUGGGAAACUAACGCUAAUACCGGAGACGUCCUUCGGGAGAAAGAUUUAUCGCUGAAAGAUUGGCCCGCGUCUGAUUAGCUAGUUGGUGAGGUAAUGGCUCACCAAGGCUACGAUCAGUAGCUGAUCUGAGAGGAUGAUCAGCCACAUUGGGACUGAGACACGGCCCAAACUGAUACGGGAGGCAGCAGUGGGGAAUAUUGGACAAUGGGCGAAAACCUGAUCCAGCCAUGCCGCGUGAGAGAUGACGGCCUUCGGCUUGUAAAGCUCUUUUGUCCGGGAAGAUAAUGACUGUACCGGAAGAAUAAGCCCCGGCAAACUUCGUGCCAGCCGCCGCGGUAA